UUUGGUGGACGGGGAGAACGCGUGGGAACGUCUCCUUUUCUACGGAAUAUCCUUUGGUGCGAAGGGUCAUACCGUAUCCGCCCUUCCUGGGAAAGAUUUAUCGCAGAAGGAUCAGCCCGGGUAUUAUUAUAUAGUUGGUGGGGUAAUGGCCUACCCAGACUACGAUCUAUAGUGGGUGAGAGGAUGAUCCACCACGCUGAUCCUGACACACGGGCCAGACACGAACAGGAGGCAUCAUGGGGGAAUCUUACACAACGGGCGCCAGCCUGAUCUACCCAGGGGGCGUGAUUGACAAAGGCCGUAAGGCCUUAUACCUCUUUCCCCUGGGAUGAGAAUGAAACUCCAGGUUAACAACCCUUCCAAUUUCCGGCCAGCAAC
rnacentral:rRNA from 1 species